UACGUAGGUGACCAGCGUUGUCCGGAUUUACUGGGCGUAAAGAGCGCGCAGGCGGUCGUUCAAGUCGAGUGUGAAAGCCCCCCGGCUCAACUGGGGAGGGGUCAUUCGAUACUGAUCGACUUGAAGGCAGGAGAGGGAAGCGGAAUUCCCGGUGUAGUGGUGAAAUGCGUAGAUAUCGGGAGGAACACCAGUGGCGAAGGCGGCUUCCUGGCCUGUUCUUGACGCUGAGG
rnacentral:rRNA from 1 species